rnacentral:piRNA from 2 species
UCUUAGUUGAUUAUCUCCUGGAUCUGGGA